AUUGAACGCUGGCGGCAUGCCUUACACAUGCAAGUCGAACGGUAACAGGUCUUCGGAUGCUGACGAGUGGCGAACGGGUGAGUAAUACAUCGGAACGUGCCUAGUAGUGGGGGAUAACUACUCGAAAGAGUGGCUAAUACCGCAUGAGAUCUACGGAUGAAAGCAGGGGAUCGCAAGACCUUGUGCUACUAGAGCGGCCGAUGGCAGAUUAGGUAGGUGGUGGGAUAAAAGCUUACCAAGCCGACGAUCUGUAGCUGGGCGGAGAGGACGAUCAGCCACACUUGGACUGAGACACGGCCCAGACUCCUACGGGAGGCAGCAGUGGGGAAUUUGGACAAUGGGCGCAAGCCUGAUCCAGCAAUGCCGCGUGCAGGAUGAAGGCCUUCGGGUUGUAAACUGCUUUUGUACGGAACGAAAAGCCCUGGGUUAAUACCCUGGGGUCAUGACGGUACCGUAAGAAUAAGCACCGGCUAACUACGUGCCAGCAGCCGCGGUAAUAC
rnacentral:rRNA from 1 species